GGUUAAUCUGAACACAGUGAUCUAUUUGGGUUUCAAGCUGGAUCCCACAGUGAGUCCUGUGUGGGCACAGGGAUAUCUCCAAGCAGAGGCUAUUGUAGGAUUGGGGCUAAAUUUGUUUAAAUGAUCUACGGAAGUAUAAAGUAAACUUAAAGUGUUAUAUUUAGAAUUCACAUAUGCUCUUGCUCUUUCACAGCUAAAGUUUUUGUCCAUGAAUGGGCCCAUCUUCGUUGGGGAGUAUUUGAUGAAUAUAAUUACGAUGCACCUUUCUAUUUGUCUGUAAACUCUGGAAAAAAAACUGUUGAAGCAACUAGCUGUUCGGCUGAUAUCACUGGUAAAUAUAUAGUCCAAAGCUGCACAGGAAACAGCUGCACGACAAGAGAAUGUGAAUAUGAUCAACAAACAAAGCUGUAUGAAGCUGGAUGUAAAUUUGUACCAGAAAAACCACAAAAUGUCCCAGCAUCUAUAAUGUACAUGCAGAGCCUCUCUUCUGUAAGUA